UACGGAGGGUGCAAGCGUUAUCCGGAUUCACUGGGUUUAAAGGGUGCGUAGGAGGGCAGGUAAGUCAGUGGUGAAAUCUCCGAGCUUAACUUGGAAACUGCCGUUGAUACUAUCUGUCUUGAAUAUUGUGGAGGUGAGCGGAAUAUGUCAUGUAGCGGUGAAAUGCUUAGAUAUGACACAGAACACCAAUUGCGAAGGCAGCUCGCUAAACCAUAACUGACGCUGAUGCACGAAAGCGUGGGGAGCAAACAGG
rnacentral:rRNA from 1 species